rnacentral:rRNA from 1 species
UCUCCUUCGGGGGGCGAGUAGAGUGGCGCACGGGUGAGUAACACGUAGGUAAUCUACCUUUGGAUUGGGAAUAACAACCGGAAACGGUUGCUAAUACCGAAUAAUGCAGCGGCACCUAAUGGUGACAGUUGUUAAAGCGGGGGAUCGCAAGACCUCGCGUCUGAAGAGGAGCCUGCGGCAGAUUAGCUAGUUGGUAAGGUAACGGCUUACCAAGGCUAUGAUCUGUAGCCGGCCUGAGAGGGCGGUCGGCCACACUGACACUGACAUACGGGUCAGACUCCUACGGGAGGCAGCAGUCGGGAAUUUUGGGCAAUGGGCGAAAGCCUGACCCAGCAACGCCGCGUGAAGGAUGAAAUCCUUCGGGAUGUAAACUUCGCAAGAACGGGAAGAAUAAGUAAGGGUUAAUAUCCCUUAUGAUGACGGUACUGUUUGUAAGCUCCGGCUAACUCCGUGCCAGCAGCCGCGGUAAUACGGGGGGAGCAAGCGUUGUUCGGAUUUACUGGGCGUAAAGGGCGCGUAGGCGGCCACCGCAAGUCGACUGUGAAAUCUCCGGGCUUAACCCGGAAAGGUCAGCCGAUACUGCGGGGCUAGAGUGCAGAAGGGGCAACUGGAAUUCUCGGUGUAGCGGUGAAAUGCGUAGAUAUCGAGAGGAACACCUGCGGCGAAGGCGGGUUGCUGGGCUGACACUGACGCUGAUGUGCGAAAGCUAGGGGAGCGAACGGGAUUAGAUACCCCGGUAGUCCUAGCCUUAAACGAUGAAUGCUUGGUGUCUGGGGUUUUAUAGU